UUCACUUAUUACUUUGAGUGAAUAUAACUAAGUUACUACAUCUGACGAAGAUGUUGACGGUAAAAGAUUCUGGCUUGUCGUUGUCCUUGAGUUAAGUAACGUAGAUCAACCCUGGAAACUGUUAGCUCUCUCAGCAUUAUAUAACUUAUUAAGUCUAAAAAAAGUCAAUGAUUUUUUAGUAGGACUGGUAGUUUGAGAGGUAGAGAAGACAACCGAGCUAUUGGUAAAUUGUCCCUACGCACCGAAAGACAAACUCAUCAGUAAAUCUGUACCAUACGGUCAUACUGGUAGAGGAUUUCGAAUUUCAAAGAUGAAGAUAAUCCUUGAAUUUAAUGGGAAUGG